GACGAACGCUGGCGGCGUGCCUAAUACAUGCAAGUCGAACGAACUCUGGUAUUGAUUGGUGCUUGCAUCAUGAUUUACAUUUGAGUGAGUGGCGAACUGGUGAGUAACACGUGGGAAACCUGCCCAGAAGCGGGGGACAACACCUGGAAACAGAUGCUAAUACCGCAUAACAACUUGGACCGCAUGGUCCGAGCUUGAAAGAUGGCUUCGGCUAUCACUUUUGGAUGGUCCCACGGCGUAUUAGCUCGGUGGUGGGGUAAUGGCUCACCAUGGCAAUGAUACGUAGCCGACCUGAGAGGGUAAUCGGCCACAUUGGGACUGAGACACGGCCCAAACUCCUACGGGAGGCAGCAGUAGGGAAUCUUCCACAAUGGACGAAAGUCUGAUGGAGCAACGCCGCGUGAGUGAAGAAGGGUUUCGGCUCGUAAAACUCUGUUGUUAAAGAAGAACAUAUCUGAGAGUAACUGUUCAGGUAUUGACGGUAUUUAACCAGAAAGCCACGGCUAACUACGUGCCAGCCGCCGCAGUAA
rnacentral:rRNA from 1 species